ensembl:lncRNA
AGUAACAAUUACGUCUGGAUCCAAGCAAACAUGAGGCGGCUGCCAGCCCGGCGGCGGUGGCGGCAGUCCUGUUCGCCUCGACUGCGUUCAGGGGAGGCUGGCAACAGUUUCCUCCAGCGCCCAGGAUGCAGCGGGCAAAGGAGGUGAUGAAAGCGUCGGACGGCAGUCUCCUGGGCGACCCCAGGCGCACACCGCUGAGCAAGAAGGAGGGUGUCAAGUGGCAGAGGCCGAGGCUGACCCGCCAGGCUCUGAUGCGAUGCUGCCUGGUCAAGUGGAUCCUGUCCAGCGCGGCCCCGCAGGGCUCAGCAGCGACAGUGAGCUGGAGCUGUCUGCCGUGCGCCACCAGCCUGAGGGGCUGGACCAGCUGCAGGCCCAGACCAAGUUCACCAAGAAGGAGCUGCAGUCCCUCUACAGGGGCUUCAAGAAUAUGCCACCACCUACGCACACUUCCUGUUCAAUGCCUUCGACGCUGACGGGAAUGGGGCCAUCCGCUUUGAGGACUUUGUGAUCGGUCUCUCCAUCCUCCUGCGAGGAACAGUCCAUGAGAAACUCAAGUGGGCCUUUAACCUCUACGACAUUAACAAGGAUGGCUACAUCACCAAAGAGGAGAUGCUGGCCAUCAUGAAGUCCAUCUAUGACAUGAUGGGCCGCCACACCUACCCCAUCCUGCGGGAGGACGCGCCCCUGGAGCACGUGGAGAGGUUCUUCCAGAAAAUGGACCGGAAUCAGGAUGGGGUGGUGACCAUUGACGAGUUCCUGGAGACGUGUCAGAAGGACGAGAACAUCAUGAGCUCCAUGCAGCUGUUCGAGAAUGUCAUCUAGGACGCGUGGGGUGGGGGCAGGCAGGCCCUGAGUGGCUGUGGCCUCCUCUGCCCCACAGAAACCUCAAUCCUGCCAGGAGCAGCCUCCAUGAGAAACUUUUUUUCUAAUAUAUUUGCAAAAAGUGAAUAUUUUGCUCCAGACAACCCCACCCCACACAGACACAGACAGACACACACACACAGACACACACACACAGACACACACACACACACCUCCUUCCUCUGGGCUGGCAGAUGGCAGGGCAGAGGUUAGGGAGGGGCCGAGUCUGGCUGGGAGCUGGGUCCGGGUGAUGAGAGCCACACAGCCCCUGGCCACCCUGGGCCAGCCUCUGGGAGCUGCUCUGGACUUUUUUAGGGCCGCACAUGCUGCAUAUGGAAGUUCCUGGGCUAGGGGUCAAAUUGGAGCUGCAGCUGCUGGCCAGUGCCACAGCCACAGCCACAGCAGAUCCGAACUGCUUCUGUGACCUGCACUACAGCUCACAGCAAUGCUGGAUCCUUAACCCACUGAGCAAGGCCAGGGAUCGAACCUUCGUCCUCAUGGAUGCUAGUCAGGUUUGCUGGCACUCCCUGCCCUCUGACUACACUUCCAGAAUAGCCCUCAGCGCAGGACCCCAGAUGGACAGCUGGGGGUCAAGGGAAUUUGGCCCAGGGAGGAGGUGACUGGACAGAGUCUGCUUUCCUGGAAAUGCUUCCCUGGGUCCCAGGACAUCUGCCAGGCCACACAGCUGUGUGUGCCGGUGGGGAGCGGCCAGCGGGCUCUGUCCUCCUUCAUCCCAGGAAAGGGGCUUUCAAGCUGGGGUUGGGUUUUUUGAUGGAGAAUCUGAGGGGAACUCUGCUGACUCCACUGGAGGUGGGAAGAAGCCUUCCUUUGCCCAGGCUGGCUCCGUGGGGAUGCAUGCUUACCCCGCCGGGGCCCCCAGGUCACUGUCAGUCCUGAGAAGGGGUCACCCGGCUCAGGGCUGGCAGCCAGGGAGUGUGGGGGGAAGGGAGGCAGAGCAGCCUGGGAAGGGGCUCCUCCAUCUGUCUUUCCUGUUGGCCCCUGUCACCCUCGGCCCAGCAGCUUGAAUGAGCCCCCUCCCCCCUUCCUGGUUGGGGUCCGGAAGCCGUGUGGCCGCCCCUCCACACAGGCUCACCUCAACCCCAUACAAAAAGCACAAGGGCCCUAGCAGCUCAGGCUGCAGCCCACGAGCGGACACUCUGCUCUUCAAGGCAAGGCCAUCCUGGUGGGCUGAGGCCUGCGUCCCACCAGCCCAGAUCAGGUGGCCCCAGGGUUCCUUGGGGGGUCAGUUCUGUGCCUCAGAGCAGUGGGGGACCCGAAGCCUACCGCCCACCCAGCCCAGCCCAGCCACCUUCAAAAGCACAAACCCUGGGGAUUCUGCUUGGCUGGAUUCUGCUCUUGAGGGCGAAGGCCAGUGUCAGUCUGAAGCUAGCGCCAGUGGGGGUCGAGGGGCUGUGGUCAGGUGGCAGGUCAACAGAAAUUUCCAAGACAGAGAGGCUGCUCCCACCUGGCCAGGUCGCCCCGGGAAGGAACCCAGUCUCAGGCCACAGGGGCCCUUCCCAGGAACAUUCCCAAAGCAAACAUUCCAUCGGCCGCUGCCCCAUCUCUGCUCAGUGAGCAGGGCNNNNNNNNNNNNNNNNNGCAGCGGAGGCCGUGGAGACUGGCCUGGCUCAGCCUUGGGGACCCCUUGGCACCCCCCUACGGGUGGUCCUCCCCCUUGGAGUGGCACCAACACCCAUCUCCAGUCUGACUGGGGGCUCCCUCUCCCCCCACUCCAGGAGGGCAUCAGCUUUCCCAGGCUCAGGGAAUCUUUUCCCACAUCCCUGCCCCCCACCCCCAGCCCAGCCCUCCCAGCUGGUGUGGCUUUGAUUCUAAGAGGCCAAGGCCACAUGAGAGGGUCACCACCAUGCCCUGCCCCAUGCCCUGCCCACCCCCUGACCUUGGGCCAGACUGGCUGCAGGUCCAGCAGAAAAGGCUGGGAUGCAGAGCAGCCUCAUGUCUGUAUGGCAGAAGUGUCUCCCUCGGGCGCGGCCUGUGGGGGUGGUUCCUGUUCUCAGCACCCACCAAUAUUCAGUCCUGUAUAUUUUAAUAAAAUAAACUUGACAAAGGA